ensembl:lncRNA
GGUACUGCACUGCAGUGAUUUGAAUCGUAUCUAUCCUAGAGAUUCCAAUUUGUUCAUGUAAAUGGAGAGUCCUCUUCACACUCUAAGGCUUAUUAUGAUGUUCCACUGAAAAGCCAUCAGCUGAUCCAAAAUGCUGCAGCUACAGUACUGUCAGAGACUAGAAAGAGAAAGCAUAUUUCUCCCAUACUGGUUUCCCUUCAUUAGCUCAAUCCAGAAUCGCAUUUAAAAUACUGGUCCUCACAUACAAGGUCUUUAAUAAUCAGGGCCAUCUUAUCUACCGUAUCACUCCAUUACAAUACUCUCAGACUGCUGGCUUAAUUAUGGUUUGCAGAGUAUAAAAGUAGAAUGGGAGGCAGAGCCUUCAGUUUGGAUUCGGGAGACAGACACCCUCUCUGCUUCUAAGAUUAGGCUUAAAACUUUCCUUUUUGAGUAAGCAUACAGUUAGGACUCAAUCAGGUGACCCUUAGUUAUGCUGCAAUAGCCCGAGGCUACUUGGGGAUUCCCAUGAUGCAUUGAGUGUUUCUUUUUCAGUCACCUUUUCUUUUGUUUCUUUUUUCUUUUUGUUGCGUGUCCCGUUUGGCUCUUUUGCCAUCAGAAUUGUUGUCUAAAGGCGAAGAAAGAUGCCCAACGGAUUUACUUUACCAAAUGGAUCAUCCCAGCCUUGCCAUAAUGGUCCAUUUGAUUCACCAUUUAUUUUUUAUUGUAUUUUAUUUUCACUUGCUAAAUACGGGACAGACUUGACUGGGGAAAAGAAAGGGGAGAAAGAAAGAGGGAAAGAAAAACAGCGGAGAAGAGGGACAGGGAUAAGGGGCAAAAAACAAAAACCAACAAAAUAAGCAGACAAAAAAUACAUAUAUCAAUCACCUGGAUCACCUGUUGAGAAAGAAAAAAAGAGAAAACAAGCAGAAGAAAAAGAGAGCAAUAUAAUAAACAACAUCACGAUGAUCUAUGGAAAUAUAACAGUAAAUACUAAAUAUUAAACAUUCAGUCACCUUUUCCACUCACAUUUUUUGUUUGGUAACAUAUGUGUUCAUACACCUCUCUGCAUUUUAUUAUUAGUUAUUACCUUUACCUUACCUAACAAUUUAAAACGCUUUGAGACAUCUUUUGUUGUGAUUUUUUGCUAAA